rnacentral:rRNA from 1 species
CGGGGCCGCCCCCGCCACACCACCCUGAAAUCUGUUACUACUGAUAAACUUCUGAAUAAACUAAAACUUUAAACAACGGAUCUCUUGGUUCUGGCUUCUGGGUCUAACGUCGAGAAAUGACGUAAGGAAUGGGAAUUGGAAAAGUGAAUGGAUCAUCUAAUCUUUUAACCCACUUUGUGCCCCUUGGUUUUCCCCGGGGGAUGUCUGGUCGAGCUGCCUUACCACCCUCAAUUUCUGCCCGCAAGUGCCCACCGCCGUCGCUGGGGAUCCGCCUCAAAGACCUCGGGGGUGGCUGCUCCCCCCUCAAACGGAGGAGAACCCACCUCGCUUUGCAUCGGGUGGCAUCUCCCGCCGGACGAACCUUCUGAACUUUUCUCACGGCUGACCUCGGAUCAGGCUUGGAUACCCGAUGAACUUAAGCAUAUCAAUACCCGGAGAAAAAGAAACCAACAGGGAUUGCCUUAAAAAAAACCAAGUGAAGUUGCAACAGCUCAAAUUUGAAAGCUGGCCCUUUUANGGAUUUNAUUGUAAUUUGUC